UGCCUUCUUCCUUUGAUGGACUAAAACUCAAGGUCUUCCCCAAAUUCAUUGAUCAAAACAGGCUCAAAGUUGUGCAUAAACGAGACAUACCUAAUCGGGUCUCCAUUAAAUUACAUAUACUCCACUUCAGGAGUGGAAACAAUUUGACGUGUAAUUUCUUCUCCGCUUCCUUGCCUCGGCGCACUAGUCCCUUGAGGUGAAUGCUGUUCUGGGUGUAUCGACAUGAAACUGAAUAGACUCAUAACUAUUAAUCUGGUGUGUUAAUGGUAAAUGUUCUUGGUUAGACCUGGUGCGUUCACUGGGUUCGUGAGCUCAUUUAGGGGAGAAAUUGUGUAUAGGCAUUAACAUUUUCACUUUCUCAUCAGAUUUCAAAGCGUCGUGGGUGGCACUCAUGGCUAAUAAAGUCAUGAAUAUUUUAGAUUGAAAGACACUAAAGACACCCCGCACCACAACUUAAGAAUUACCCACAAGUAGUUUCUUCAAAACUACGAAGCACUUCUAAGUGAUUGUCAGUGGUUAUUGCAUUUCUCACCCAGCUGGGAUAACGAUUUAAAUCGCGAGCUCUUACAUCGAAAUGUUAUUGCAUGAUCUAACACAUUGCCAUUUUGCAUCGAUCCUAGCCUCCUCGUUUAAUUUCGUGUGAAAGCGAUGCUGGACCUGAAAAUAGAGAGGACAGCCACGUCUAUGACAACAAUUUCGCCUCUGCUCAUAGGUGACAAGAAUGAGUACGUACAAAUUAAAACCUCUAAGCCUGCGCCGAUUACUUUGAUGAGGUCAGAGCACGACACAGAUGAUGUUUAAAGUUCUCGUGAAGUUUGAUAGAGCAUAGAGCGCUUCAUUUCCAGUCCUAUCUCACUCACACUUCCACGGAGCCUCUGAAGUAAACUUCCGCUCAACGCAGGGAAUCUACACCACCUAAGAAAUUCAUAAAUAAGAAGCGCCGAUACAACAAAACAGUUUAUGUAAUAAACACUGUGCAGCAUACAACGAAACACAUUUAUUGGAGAAUUAAAGGUUUUAACUAAGAGCUGGUGCAUACAGUUUUAUACAAAAUUAUCCUAAAUAAUAAUAAUUUGUCUUUUCCUUCA